rnacentral:rRNA from 1 species
UAAUUUUUAUGGAGAGUUUGAUCCUGGCUCAGGAUGAACGCUGGCGGCGUGCCUAAUACAUGCAAGUCGAGCGAACGGACGAGAAGCUUGCUUCUCUGAUGUUAGCGGCGGACGGGUGAGUAACACGUGGAUAACCUACCUAUAAGACUGGGAUAACUUCGGGAAACCGGAGCUAAUACCGGAUAAUAUUUUGAACCGCAUGGUUCAAAAGUGAAAGACGGUCUUGCUGUCACUUAUAGAUGGAUCCGCGCUGCAUUAGCUAGUUGGUAAGGUAACGGCUUACCAAGGCAACGAUGCAUAGCCGACCUGAGAGGGUGAUCGGCCACACUGGAACUGAGACACGGUCCAGACUCCUACGGGAGGCAGCAGUAGGGGAUCUUCCGCAAUGGGCGAAAGCCUGACGGAGCAACGCCGCGUGAGUGAUGAAGGUCUUCGGAUCGUAAAACUCUGUUAUUAGGGAAGAACAUAUGUGUAAGUAACUGUGCACAUCUUGACGGUACCUAAUCAGAAAGCCACGGCUAACUACGUGCCAGCAGCCGCGGUAAUACGUAGGUGGCAAGCGUUAUCCGGAAUUAUUGGGCGUAAAGCGCGCGUAGGCGGUUUUUUAAGUCUGAUGUGAAAGCCCACGGCUCAACCGUGGAGGGUCAUUGGAAACUGGAAAACUUGAGUGCAGAAGAGGAAAGUGGAAUUCCAUGUGUAGCGGUGAAAUGCGCAGAGAUAUGGAGGAACACCAGUGGCGAAGGCGACUUUCUGGUCUGUAACUGACGCUGAUGUGCGAAAGCGUGGGGAUCAAACAGGAUUAGAUACCCUGGUAGUCCACGCCGUAAACGAUGAGUGCUAAGUGUUAGGGGGUUUCCGCCCCUUAGUGCUGCAGCUAACGCAUUAAGCACUCCGCCUGGGGAGUACGACCGCAAGGUUGAAACUCAAAGGAAUUGACGGGGACCCGCACAAGCGGUGGAGCAUGUGGUUUAAUUCGAAGCAACGCGAAGAACCUUACCAAAUCUUGACAUCCUUUGACAACUCUAGAGAUAGAGCCUUCCCCUUCGGGGGACAAAGUGACAGGUGGUGCAUGGUUGUCGUCAGCUCGUGUCGUGAGAUGUUGGGUUAAGUCCCGCAACGAGCGCAACCCUUAAGCUUAGUUGCCAUCAUUAAGUUGGGCACUCUAAGUUGACUGCCGGUGACAAACCGGAGGAAGGUGGGGAUGACGUCAAAUCAUCAUGCCCCUUAUGAUUUGGGCUACACACGUGCUACAAUGGACAAUACAAAGGGCAGCGAAACCGCGAGGUCAAGCAAAUCCCAUAAAGUUGUUCUCAGUUCGGAUUGUAGUCUGCAACUCGACUACAUGAAGCUGGAAUCGCUAGUAAUCGUAGAUCAGCAUGCUACGGUGAAUACGUUCCCGGGUCUUGUACACACCGCCCGUCACACCACGAGAGUUUGUAACACCCGAAGCCGGUGGAGUAACCUUUUAGGAGCUAGCCGUCGAAGGUGGGACAAAUGAUUGGGGUGAAGUCGUAACAAGGUAGCCGUAUCGGAAGGUGCGGCUGGAUCACCUCCUUUCUAAG